UGAGGAAUAUUGGUCAAUGGGCGCUAGCCUGAACCAGCCAAGUAGCGUGAAGGAUGAAGGCUCUCUGGGUCGUAAACUUCUUUUAUAUAAGAAUAAAGUGCAGUAUGUAUACUGUUUUGUAUGUAUUAUAUGAAUAAGGAUCGGCUAACUCCGUGCCAGCAGCCGCGGUAAUACGGAGGAUCCGAGCGUUAUCCGGAUUUAUUGGGUUUAAAGGGAGCGUAGGUGGACUGGUAAGUCAGUUGUGAAAGUUUGCGGCUCAACCGUAAAAUUGCAGUUGAUACUGUCAGUCUUGAGUACAGUAGAGGUGGGCGGAAUUCGUGGUGUAGCGGUGAAAUGCUUAGAUAUCACGAAGAACUCCGAUUGAGAAGGCAGCUCACUGGACUGCAACUGACACUGAUGCUCGAAAGUGUGGGGAUCAAACAGG
rnacentral:rRNA from 1 species